rnacentral:rRNA from 14 species
AAGCAGCACUGUCAACUAGUCAAGGAAAGGUUCAAACAACAACAUAAUAAAUAACACAACAAAUAAAGGAUACAUUUCACAACAAUAACAACCCACCCAUGCCCCCCUACUAUACUAGCACAAGCCCGCCUCCCUCU